rnacentral:lncRNA from 1 species
UUACGAUCCAUCCUUCUCACGUUCAGCCGGCGUAUACCAACCCACCCCACAUGGCCCACGUACCUCAGGCUCAUGUACAGUCAGGAAUGGUUCCUUCUCAUCCAACUGCCCAUGCGCCAAUGAUGCUAAUGACGACACAGCCACCCGGCGGUCCCCAGGCCGCCCUCGCUCAAAGUGCACUACAGCCCAUUCCAGUCUCGACAACAGCGCAUUUCCCCUAUAUGACGCACCCUUCAGUACAAGCCCACCACCAACAGCAGUUGUAAGGCUGCCCUGGAGGAACCGAAAGGCCAAAUUCCCUCCUCCCUUCUACUGCUUCUACCAACUGGAAGCACAGAAAACUAGAAUUUCAUUUAUUUUGUUUUUAAAAUAUAUAUGUUGAUUUCUUGUAACAUCCAAUAGGAAUGCUAACAGUUCACUUGCAGUGGAAGAUACUUGGACCGAGUAGAGGCAUUUAGGAACUUGGGGGCUAUUCCAUAAUUCCAUAUGCUGUUUCAGAGUCCCGCAGGUACCCCAGCUCUGCUUGCCGAAACUGGAAGUUAUUUAUUUUUUAAUAACCCUUGAAAGUCAUGAACACAUCAGCUAGCAAAAGAAGUAACAAGAGUGAUUCUUGCUGCUAUUACUGCUAAAAAAAAAAAAAAAAAAAAAUCAAGACUUGGAACGCCCUUUUACUAAACUUGACAAAGUUUCAGUAAAUUCUUACCGUCAAACUGACGGAUUAUUAUUUAUAAAUCAAGUUUGAUGAGGUGAUCACUGUCUACAGUGGUUCAACUUUUAAGUUAAGGGAAAAACUUUUACUUUGUAGAUAAUAU